GGGCUAGAGAGGUGCUUUACCUCUGACCUACAAUCCCAAGUCACACUGUUUAGAUUAUAUCAUGCAUACUUUUAUUAAAUAAUUACCAUACUGAAAUAAAAAAGAUUUGAACGUUCGCAUUAGCAAACCAUCAGGGUAGUAGGUUUGUUAUUGUUUACUUUCAAUAGUUUCUUUGUGGGGUGGAGAUUCGAGGAAAUUUCCAUUUCAUUGUGAGUUGUUUCACUGGGGGAUACUUUUCUCUCUUUAAAACAACUGGGCAAUGUGUUACGUUUUUGUUUGUUUUUGAGCAUCAACUUUGUGGAUACUCAUGAUUUUCUCGCCUCAAACCUCUUAAGUGUUCCAAAUACAGGUCUUUGUUACCAAAUCCAGCUAAUACUGCAAUUUUAUUUCUGUUAUGACAUAUUUAGAGUAUUAGGUAUAUAAGAAACUAAAAUUUUGCUAGAAAAGGUGCUGCGUUUUAUUUAGAUAUGGAAAAUUCCUAUCGCUAGUACACUUGGUGGUUUCUGUAUUUGUUAUUUUUUUUGGUAGCUUAAAAUGUGUGUGUGCAUGCAUGUAUGAAUGUGUGUGUGCCUGUGUGUGUGUGUGUGUGUGCAUGUGCAUACACAUGCACAUAUGUGGACCAAAGGCCGACAGUGGGAUGUUCUCAUAGUUUUCUGUUGCUGCAAUAAAACACCAUGACCAAGGCAACUUAUAGAAGAAAACGUUUGAUUAGUUUUAGAGUUCCGAAGGAUAGAGUCCAUGCUUUGAGAAGUAGCAGGAAGUCAGUCGGCAGCAGACAUGGCAGGGCGGUGACUGAGACCGCUGUUCAUAUCUCCAUCCACAAACAUGAAGCAGAAUGGCCUGAAUCUUUUGAAAACUUAAAGCCAGUACCCAAGGACACACUUCUGCCCACAAGGCCAAACCUCCUAAUCCUUCCUAAACAGUUCCACCAAACCAGGGACCAGGUAUUCAAACAUAGGAACCUAUGGGGCCAUUCUUAUUCAAGCUACCACAGGUGUGGUAAAAUAAAUUAGGAAAAAUUUUUUUUUUCUGUUUUGAGACUAGUUUUCAUGUAUCCCAGGCUGGUUUUGAACUUACUACAUAAGUGAGUCUGACCUUGUAAUCCUGAUCUUCCCGCCUCCACCUCCCAGGCGCUGGAAUCACUAGUGUGUUCCAUGGCACCCGGGAGUUUGUUUUUUCUCUGUCUCUUUGAGACAAGGUUUCACACUGUACUGCAGGCUUGUAGCCUAGGCUGGCCUCAAACUCCUUGGUCAUCUUCUUGUCUCACUUUUCCAGUCCUGAGAUUGCAGGUGCGAGCCACUAAAUCUGGUCUGAGUUCUUUCUAGAGUCACUAUAGAUAACUUAAUCUCCCUCCAAUUCUUACUUGGCAAAGCUAUUCUUCCAUUAUGCAGCCUAUCUGUUCAUCUGCUGGUUUCCUUUGCCGUGAAAAAAACUUUUAAUUUUAUGCAGUCCCAUUAGUCAAUUCUUUGAAAAGAUUUCCCCCCCUAGGGAAGGGUCUCCCUUUGUAGCUCUAGCUGGCUUAGAACUCCCUGUAUAGACCAUGUUGGCCUCACGCCCACAGAGAUCAGUCUGUCUCUGCUUCCAGAUUUUCUCUGUGUAGUCCUGGCUGUCCUGGAACUCACUCUGUAGACCAGGCUGGCCUCGAAUUCAGAAAUCCACCUGCCUCUGCCUCCCAAGUGCUGGGAUUAAAGGCGUGCACCACCGUGCCCAGCUUUUUUUUUGGCUUUUAUCUUUUGUUUUUCAAGGCAGGGUUUCUCUGUAACUCUGUCUUUCCUGGAACUAGCUCUGAAGACCAGGCUAGCCUCAAACUCACAGAUAUCCUCCUGCUUCUGCCUCCCGAGUGCUGUGAUGAAAGGCGUGUGCCACCACUGCCCAGAUUUUUUAUAUGUCCUAGGGUCUUAUUGCUGUGAAGAGACACCAUGACCAAGACAACUCUUAUAAAGGACAACAUUUAAUUGGGGCUGACUUACAGGUUCAGGGUUUUAGUCCAUUAUCGUCAUGCUAGGAAGCAUGGCAGCGUGCAGGCAGACACAAUGCUGGAGAAGGAGCCGAGGGUUCUACAUCUGGAUCCGCAGGUAGCAGAAGGAGACUGUCUACCACACUGCAAGUAGCUUGAACAUAUGGAACCGAAAAGUCCGCCGCCACAGUGACACACUUCCUCCAAUAAGGCCAUACCUAAUAACAGUGCCACUCCUUAUGGACCAAGCAUUAGAACAUGGGGGGUGGGGAGGCAUUCCUUUUGAAACCACCACAAUGUGUACGAGUGCUUUGCUGCAUGUAUGUAUGUGGAUGAUACACAUUCCUGGUACCCGUCGAGUUCAGAAAAGAAUGUCAGUUUCCCUGAAAGUAGAGAUAUGGAUGGUUGUGAGCUACCAUGUGGGUGCUUGGAAUCCAGUCCUCUGCCAGAGCAACAGGUGCAGUAGCGCACUGUGCCAGCUCCUUCCCACCAGGCAUCCUCAGGUUAUUUCUUUUUGUUUUUUUUCAAGACAGGGUUUCUCUGUGUAGCCCUGGCUGUCCUGGAACUCACUCUGUAGACCAGGCUGGCCUCGAACCCAGAAAUCUGCCUGCCUCUGCCUCCCAAGUGCUGGGAUCAAAGGCAUGCUCCACCACACCCAGCUUGCCCAGGGUUGUUUCUUGAGCUCUUGCAGGACUCUUGUGCAAUCCCUUGCCUAGAUCUCUCAAAGUGUAUUUAGUCUCCGAUUUUCCUUUCAGGUUGCACACUAAGGGCUUUGGUCUGGUUUGGAUUGAUUUUGUGCAGGGUGAGAGAGGCCUCCUGUUUUCCCAGCAUCCUUUGCAGAAGGGGCUGUCCUUUCAUCUUUGCUAAAACUUAGGUGAUUGUUAGGUGUGUGUGUGUGUGUGUGUGUGUGUGUGUGUGUGUGUGUGUAGGGUUGCCUCCAUGUAUGUCAGUGUGCCACAUAUAUGCCUGGUGCCCAGAGGAGCCAGAAGAAGGCAUGGGAUCCCCUGGACCGCAGUUACAGACAGCUGUGAGCUGCCUGUGGUGCUGGGAAUACCCAGGUUCUCUGAAGGAGCAGCCUGUGCUCUAACCACUGAGCCGUCUCAUCAGCUGUGGGCUCUCUACCCAUCCUGUUGUGUUUUGCAGCAGCG
rnacentral:lncRNA from 1 species